UUCCGGUUGAUCCUGCCGAAGGCUACUGCUAUUGGAGUUCGAUUAAGCCAUGCGAGUCUAAGGGACUUCGGUCCCUGGCAUAAUGCUCAGUAACAAGUGGAUAAUCUGCCCUUAGGUGAGGAAUAAACCCGGGAAACUGGGGCUAAUACCUCAUAGACACAAGAAGCUGGAAUGCUCCUGUGUUCAAAGCUCCGGCGCCUAAGGAUGAGUCUGCUUCCUAUCAGGUUGUAGUCAGGGUCAAGACCUGACUAGCCAACGACGGGUACGGGGUGUGAGAGCACUUGCCCGGAGAUGGUUUCUGAGACACGAAACCAGGCCCUACGGGGCGCAGCAGGCGCGAAAACUUCGCAAUGCGGGAAACCGUGACGAGGGAACUCCAAGUGUCUAUGCAUUGCAUAGACUGUUUUUUAGCCUAAAUAGCUAUUAGAGUAAGAGGUGGGCAAGACCGGUGCCAGCCGCCGCGGUAACACCGGCACCUCGAGUGGUAGCCACUAUUAUUGGGCCUAAAGCGUUCGUAGCCGGUUUGGUAAAUUCUUGGGUAAAUCGUACCGCUUAACGGUGCGGAUUCCGGGGACACUACCAGACUUGAGACCGGGGGAGAUCAGAGGUACUUGUGGGGGAGCGGUGAAAUGUUGUAAUCCUGCAGGGACCACCAGUGGCGAAGGCGUCUGAUCAGAACGGCUCUGACGGUGAGGAACGAAACCCUGGGGCGCAAACGGGAUUAGAUACCCCGGUAGUCCAGGGCGUAAACGCUGCUGACUUGGUGUUGGAGAUCCUACGAGGAUGUCCAGUGCUGGCGCGAAGGUAUUAAGUCAGCCGCCUGGGGAGUACGGUCGCAAGACUGAAACUUAAAGGAAUUGGCGGGGGAGCACUGCAACGUGUGGAGCGUGCGGUUUAAUUGGAGUCAACGCCGG
rnacentral:rRNA from 1 species